GGGCCCGCACAAGCGGUGGAGUAUGUGGUUUAAUUCGAUGCAACGCGAAGAACCUUACCAGGGUUUGACAUCCUCGGAACUUUCUAGAGAUAGAUUGGUGCCUUCGGGAACCGAGUGACAGGUGCUGCAUGGCUGUCGUCAGCUCGUGUCGUGAGAUGUUGGGUUAAGUCCCGUAACGAGCGCAACCCUUGUCCUUAGUUGCCAGCACAUUAUGGUGGGAACUCUAAGGAGACUGCCGGUGACAACCGGAGGAAGGUGGGACGACGUCAAGUCAUCAUGGCCCUUACGGCCUGGGCUACACACGUGCUACAAUGGCUAGGACAGACGGCCGCAAACCCCGCGAGGGGAGCCAAUCCGACAAACCUAGUCGU
rnacentral:rRNA from 1 species